CUGGGCAGAGGGCAAGGGAUUUACUGGCUGUGUGAAAGUUACCACAGACACUGGGGAGGUGGGCAGCGCUGGUCUGAGGAAACAUCUAGCAGGGGACUCCUGGGGGCCAUCUUCUGUGAUGCAACAAUUAAGUAAAGGCCAGUGUAUGACAUUAGGAGCACAAGACUGGGGAGUUUCAGAAGGUGCUGGAAGAGGGUAAGGAAAAGGAGAGAGAGAAAGAAAAUUCAAUGCACCAGGGGAACUGACCAUCAGCUGGAAAUUCUCAGCCUGAGAGUUUGUAGCCCCCUGGAGCUGGGAAGGGCAGCUAUCAGCAACUCUCUUGACAAUGAGGAAACCGAGACCCAGAGGCCACAAAGCCUCGACUGAGGAUACACCCUGAAGCUCCCAGGACUUCUAAUAAUGAUAGCAUUGAUUAAUAAUGAUUAAUAAUGAUUAGCAUUGAAUGCUAAUGAUGCUUUUCCAUGGGUUAUCUCAUUUCACCAUUUAAUCCUCACAACCUGAUGGAAGUUAUUAUAUAUUUUAUAUAUAUGUAUAUAUAUAUGUAAUAUCAUAUGGCAUGCCCAUGAGGAACGUUAAGUGAAGGGCAGUUGUUCUGGACCUCAGAGGAUUAAGCCCAGGCUGUUUGACGCUACAGCCCUGUCCUUCAACACCUUCAUAUCCUCACUGUACCCUCCUGUGUCAGAGAGACCCCACUGGGGAACAGAGAGUUAGAAGGACAGAGACAGAGACGAAGGAAAAACAGCUGUCUUGGAGACACUGUGGUCCCCAUUAUCUCCCCCAAAGAGAGAAAACAAAGGGCGUGCCGGGGGAGGGAGUGGGUGAACGAGCCUGUGUGUGACGUGGGGACUGGAGGAUGAUUCUGAAUAAAGGUCAGGCCUUUCCAGAGCGAGAACGCGGGCUGAAGGGUAGCGGUUUCUCUCAACUACAGAGGCACAGGCUGAGGGGGCCACCGAGGCGAGCGGUAAAUUUGGCUGGGCGUGUGGGCCUGUACAAUAAUCUCAGGCCUGCAGGUCACUCCAGGAUACCAGGGCAAGCUUUGUACCAGAAAAACCAACUCCUGAUUGCCUGCCAGUCGGGACAGUGGGAGGAGGAAACAGAGGAGCGACAGCACACCCGGGACGCCCCCAACCUUCCUCCUUGUCCUGCUGGGUUAAUAACAAGCACGGUAACCAACACGUACGGAGCACUUACACGUGUGCUCAGAGCUUUACAUGCACCGCACGAGCUCAAUGGGGCAUCGAGAACAGUCCUUGAGCACGGUGACCAAACCAGCCCAUUUUACAAAGGAGGAACCCGAGGGUGAGGAACUGACCUCGGAUCAUUGUUCUGUUGAAUAGUGAGCUGGGAUCUGAAUCCAGGCAGCCUGAUUCCAGGAGCUGCCCCCAAAGCUCUAGGGAAGCAGCUGGGCAUGUGGCAAUGGAAGCCAAGGUCUCAGAGCCCGGGAUUGUGUGGAAUCAGUUCUCAAAUCCACCACUUCUAGCCGGAGCUGAGCGACUUGGCUUAACUAUGCUCAGUGUCUGUCGCCUCACGGGUAAAAUGCAGAUCCCUGGGUCCCAGGGUGGUAAUGAGGAUGGGGGAUAUAAGCAAGCGGCUGCCAGUAGUUCCUCCAUUACUGGUGUUGGGUCUCGUGGGGCCCACAGCCUCUGCCACCUCCCAGGGUAUAGCAUGGGUCCUCCCUGAUCCUCAGGCUUCUCCUCAGCUCCCACAAAGAGUCGCCCACCCUCAUGGGCUGCACGCUGUUUGGUGAACUCCCAACUAGUGUUCCCAAACCUAAUAAGUGACCCCAAAGGCCACCGAAGAACCACAUUCUCUGAUCACGCAGCCCCAGGCCUUCCUCCCAGCUCAUCAAAGACAGUCUAACCUUUCGCCUCCCACCCCCACCUCCCACUGCUAGCUCAUUAUACUCCCUCCACCCAGGAACAAGGGCAAUUAAAAAGGUGGAAAAUUUAAGUGGGUCAAUAUGACUAUUUUCUAGAAGUUUAGGCAUACAAUUUGGUGAGAAAAGAAACAGAAACCAUGAGCUCACCAAAGGUGGGCAAAGACCGUCUUCUAUGGAGUUGCCAAAACCUAUUUGAAAGAAAAACCUCCCACUGGGGCCUCCUGUAACCAAUUCCAUAAAUACAAAUUUACCAACCUCAGGAAAGACUUUUUUCCUUGUCUGCACAGUAUCUCUUCUCUACUCCGUGAACCUCCAGGGUCCCCUCUCCCAGGGCAACAUCCCUUGCCCUUCACGAAAUAAUUACAUCAAGCUUUCUAAUAGGUUGACAGAUAGCACCAUGUCAUCUCUACCUUUCAGCUUCCCUGCGGAAAUCCUCCUGUUUGAUCUGCAGAUCUGUGUAACGGAGGAGGAGAGAGGGAGGAAAAAAGCGAGAGCGGCUCUAUUCUGAUAUAUACGUACUUUUCCAGGCAUGCCCCCUGCCCUGUUGGGCAUAAUUGCCUGUUUAAUUACCUGUAUUCCCGGUGGCCUGAAAAUUCUGGGAGGACAGGGGCAAUGUUGAUCCUUACAUCCCCACACAUAGAACAGCUACCAGGAAGAGCAAGUCUCUGAUAAAUGUUUGCUGAAGGCCUGAGGAGAAGAGAGAGAGCAGCUGGGGAGAGAGAGUCUUACGUACAUACACCCCUCCUCAUCUCCAAGGGCCAGCUUCUCUCCGUCGAGCAAAUCCCUGGACAUUUUCUCUUGGCCUCAGAGGUCUUUUUAGAGUUCUUGGCCUUUCUUCUUAUGGGGGCCACAUGGAGGACAAGUUGGCAUAGAGUCUGCCACCUGGGGUUGGGGGGCUGGCCGUGCCUCUUCACCCACAUGGAUGUCUCCCACUUGCCCUCCCCUGGGGGCGCCGCAGAGUGAAGAUUGUUCUGUACCAGGCGGAGUCCUGGGUCUUUCACAACCAAUGUCUAUGGAACACGCCACCCCAAACCUGUAGAGGACACAUUCUUUUCAAGUUCACAUGCAUCGUUCCCCAAGACAGGCCAUAUGUUGAACCACGAGAUCACUCUCAAUACAUUUCAAAGGAGCGAAAUCACACAGAACAUGUUCUCUGAGGACGAUGGAAAUAAAUUAGAAGAGUAGAUACGUUCAAAAUCCCAAAUAUCUGAAGAAACUCUCUCAGUGCUUGACACAGUGUAGAUCCUCAACAAUUUCUGCCUCGACAUCCUUCUCUACCACAGUUACGAUCCCUCUGCUGCUGCUGAAAGUAAAGGCCGACCACCGGCCAAGGUUACGGCCACAGUCCCAGGCCUGGCACUUACUGCCCUGUCUGCACAGUGAGCUGGGACAAUGAGUCCACCUCGGAGCCCACCCUGAGUCCCUCAGCAUUCACCAGAUCCACACUGAGGCAGGAAGAUCUCCGCUAUGCUGCCAGAAUGGGGUCCCAGCCCACUCUCCACUCCAAGGAGCCCAGCCUUCUCGAGAUGUGGGGAGAGAGCUCAAUGGGGUGAUGGCUCUUGAUCUUUUUACUUAGAAUGUUCUCUGGCAGAUAAAAUCAAAUUCAUUUUGUUUAGGGAGUUUAGCCGAAACCCCUUGAGGAACAAAUGAAGGCAGCACACAGAAAUGCCUCCUUUCCUCUGCCUGCCAUUUUAGAGGGUCCCCAAGAGGCCAGGAAUACAGUCAACCAGAGAGAAACCCAACCAGCCAAGUCAUACGAGGGAGACGGAGACUGCCAUUGUCACAACCUUUGGACUAAAGAAUGAAGUGGAAACUGAAUUUCACUGAAGGCUGUGCUUGAGCUUUUCAAGGCCAAUAGUCUGAUCCAUGUGUUUGGUUCACAAUAUAAAUGGACAAUUGUGGUGCUGAUAAGUCACCACCCGGAAGAGCCCAAGGGUGGAAGUACCUGUUAUUGGCACAUGCUGUGUGUAAACCUUCUACUGAGACUAAGCUGGUUGCAGCAUCAUUUUCCUUCAAAUCAGGGUAAAGAUCUCCUAGAUAAGAAUGAGUUGGAAAUUAAGACCCAAAUUAAAGCACAUCUAAAGAGGUUGGUACGUGACAAAACCUCCUCAGAAUGCAGUCCAUGGAAGGUUUCCGCCGGGAUCCUGUCAAGAGAGGCGAGUUUUAAAAGGUCUAUGAAUCCUCUAGCUAGGGGAGAAAAGACAAGAGGCAGCAAAGACAGACAGCUAACAAGAAUAGCAUCACCUCCACCUCCACCACCAUUUCUUGGGAGGAGACAUCAUGGAAGCCACUGUUUUCAGUACUUCGGUAAGUUAUAAACUCAUUUGGAUAACGCACCGCAAGUCGUGAAGCUACAGGUCACCAGGGCGUGUACAUGCAACCAAAGCGAUUCCCAGCUGAAGUUCUGAAAUCUCUGGUUCAGUCAAAACGCAGUAGAGGCACCCUAGCGGCCCGAGCACACAAAGAUAAACGGGAAACAGAAAUUCAGAGACCAAAUUCAGAGAGUGGAGGUGAAGAAUCUACUUACGUUCUCACUCACCCACCUAGCAAGUCUUUCUUUUAUUAACUGCUUACGAGAGGCCAGGCGCUGGGGAUGCACAUAUGAAUAAAAUGAGACCUCUGACCUUUAAGAACUCCCAGUCUAGUCUCUUCAGAACCCUCUAUUUCCACACUGUGACACUUCUGCUAGUGGAAGGGCACGUUAACCGUCUAAGAGGCUGCAGCAACGGGCAUAACCUGGAAUUCUUUCAUCAACCCUGGUUGUGUGGCCACCUUAAGUCCCCCCAAUACAGUGCAGCUCCCUGAGAGCAGGAACCAUCCACACAAACCACAGGAUGAUAAUUCGCCCUCCCCCACCAUACUAGUUCACCUAAGCUGACUUUCGGGGUCAACGGAAUUUAUUUCUGACUCUACCUCCCACCCCCUCACAACCACAUCAAGUAUUUCAGAUCAAGUAUCUGUGAAUCAUAGGUCAAGCUGAUUCAUUUCUUAAAGUUUCCGGAUUAUGAAUGAAAAUGGUAUCGAUCACCUGGAUGAGGAUCAAAUACAGGGAGAGACAGCGCGACAGUCGAGACUGGCUCUGCAUUUACUUGCAACAAUGCCAACUAGAUUUCCAGCAUUUUAUUGAGACGAGGAGAGAGCUGCUGAAAAAUUAGCAGGGAG
ensembl:lncRNA